AUAUCUCUCUGUACGGGAAGGAUGAGAAGCUUCGACUAAGGUUCGAUUCGAGCGUCAGCGAGAAAGCGUUGCCGCAGGCAACGACC
rnacentral:sRNA from 2 species